rnacentral:rRNA from 1 species
AAUUUUGGUCAAUGGGGGAAACCCUGUUCCAGCCAUCCCGCGUGUAUGAUGAAGGCCAUCGGGUUGUAAAGUACUUUUGUUAGAGAAGAAAAGGUACCGCCUCAUACGAGGUACUACUGACGGUACCUGCAGUAUAAGUACUGGCUAACUACGUCCCAGCAGCCGCGGUAAUACGUAGGGUGCAAGCGUUAAUCGGAAUUACUGGGCGUAAAGCGUGUGUAGGCGGUUCGGAAAGAAAGAUGUGGAAUCCCAGGGCUCAACCUUGGAACUGCAUUUUUAACUGCCGAGCUAGAGUAUGUCAGAGGGGGGUAGAAUUCCACGUGUAGCAGUGAAAUGCGUAGAUAUGUGGAGGAAUACCGAUGGCGAAGGCAGCCCCCUGGGAUAAUACUGACGCUCAGACACGGAAGCGUGGGGAGCAAACA